UGCAGUCGAGCGAACAGACAAGGAGCUUGCUCCUUUGACGUUAGCGGCGGACGGGUGAGUAACACGUGGGUAACCUACCUAUAAGACUGGGAUAACUUCGGGAAACCGGAGCUAAUACCGGAUAAUAUUUCGAACCGCAUGGUUCGAUAGUGAAAGAUGGUUUUGCUAUCACUUAUAGAUGGACCCGCGCCGUAUUAGCUAGUUGGUAAGGUAACGGCUUACCAAGGCGACGAUACGUAGCCGACCUGAGAGGGUGAUCGGCCACACUGGAACUGAGACACGGUCCAGACUCCUACGGGAGGCAGCAGUAGGGAAUCUUUCCGCAAUGGGCGAAAGCCUGACGGAGCAACGCCGCCUGAGUGAUGAAGGUUCUUCGGAUCGUAAAACUCUGUUAUUAGGGAAGAACAUACGUGUAAGUAACUAUGCACGUCUUGACGGUACCUAAUCAGAAAGCCACGGCUAACUACGUGCCAGCAGCCGCGGUAAUACGUAGGUGGCAAGCGUUAUCCGGAAUUAUUGGGCGUAAAGCGCGCGUAGGCGGUUUUUUAAGUCUGAUGUGAAAGCCCACGGCUCAACCGUGGAGGGUCAUUGGAAACUGUAAAACUUGAGUGCAGAAGAGGAAAGUGGAAUUCCAUGUGUAGCGGUGAAAUGCGCAGAGAUAUGGAGGAACACCAGUGGCGAAGGCGACUUUCUGGUCUGUAACUGACGCUGAUGUGCGAAAGCGUGGGGAUCAAACAGGAUUAGAUACCCUGGUAGUCCACGCCGUAAACGAUGAGUGCUAAGUGUUAGGGGGUUUCCGCCCCUUAGUGCUGCAGCUAACGCAUUAAGCACUCCGCCUGGGGAGUACGACCGCAAGGUUGAAACUCAAAGGAAUUGACGGGGACCCGCACAAGCGGUGGAGCAUGUGGUUUAAUUCGAAGCAACGCGAAGAACCUUACCAAAUCUUGACAUCCUUUGACAACUCUAGAGAUAGAGCCUUCCCCUUCGGGGGACAAAGUGACAGGUGGUGCAUGGUUGUCGUCAGCUCGUGUCGUGAGAUGUUGGGUUAAGUCCCGCAACGAGCGCAACCCUUAAGCUUAGUUGCCAUCAUUAAGUUGGGCACUCUAAGUUGACUGCCGGUGACAAACCGGAGGAAGGUGGGGAUGACGUCAAAUCAUCAUGCCCCUUAUGAUUUGGGCUACACACGUGCUACAAUGGACAAUACAAAGGGCAGCGAAACCGCGAGGUCAAGCAAAUCCCAUAAAGUUGUUCUCAGUUCGGAUUGUAGUCUGCAACUCGACUACAUGAAGCUGGAAUCGCUAGUAAUCGUAGAUCAGCAUGCUACGGUGAAUACGUUCCCGGGUCUUGUACACACCGCCCGUCACACCACGAGAGUUUGUAACACCCGAAGCCGGUGGAGUAACCA
rnacentral:rRNA from 1 species